CAGGUUCCCUGAGAAGGAAAUUUUCAAAAGGCAUUUAAAAAUGGUUAGGAAAACACUGUUUCUUCUGCUUUCCCAUUUACUUCUCUCAUUAUUCCUUCUCAGUCAUUUUUAUGGUCUUUUGUUCCUUUGCUUACCUUGUUAAUCAUCAAUCUUAUCCAUCAGCUAUAUAAGCUCAGAAAGAUCUUACUCUCUCCUACAUUUUUAUUGAAUAAAUAAAUGAAACUCAUAAAUCUUUGAGUUCUGACAUCCCUUGAGCUUUGGAUAUAUUGCUUUUUUUUUGUUUUUUUGCUUCAGAAAUAUUCCAGAUGCCUGCUAAGAUGUCCUACCAGGUACCUUAAAUGUAUAAAAGAACUCAAAAUUAGCUUCUUCUUCUUUCUACCUGCCUCCUCUACCUUCUAUACCUGUCCGCCCUUGACCCUCAUUCUCUGUACAGCUGAUGAUGCCAUCACCUUUCCAGUGUCCUGAGCUGGAAAAGUAAGAAUUUCCUUUUCCCUCACAUUUCUCAGCUAAUCUAUUGCCAAAUUCUGGCCUAUUCUGUUUCCCAAGUAUUUAUAGGAUUUGUUCUCACCACUCACCCCUAUUAGUACUGCUUCAGGUGUGUAUGCACUAGUUCAAGCUCUGUAUGGUGAGGUUUAAGAAUAUGGGCUCUGCAGCCAGGCAGACCUAGGUUUAAAUCCUGGCUCUCACACUUACUAGCUUUCAAACCCUGGGCAAAUUACUCAACCCAUCUAAAUCACCGGUCCAUGGCAACUACCUAAGGAGCUUUAAAUAAAAUACUGCUGCUUGCUUGGUUCAACUGAUUUCACUGGAAUGAAGUGAGGCCUGAACUGUGUGAAUUUUUAAAGACUUCCCAAGGGAUUCCAAGCCAGAGCCAAGUUUGAAAAGGACUGCCCUAAUCCACAGUUCUCUCAUCUGUACCCUGCGGUUAUGACCACAUGGGGGUCAUUGUGAGGAAGUAGUUAGUAAGACAAUGCUGGCGUGGGGUAGGCAAGCUAGUUAUUAUAAGGCAACUCCUUAUCAUCUCUCUGCAGUACUUUGCAGUAGCCUCUUACUGCAUUCCCUGUCUUAAAUUUUACCCAUCUCCACUUCAAUCCCAGAAGGAAAGAGCUAGAAGAAAUCUGAUCCUGUAAUUUCCAGCUUAAAAUCCUUCGAUCACAGUCUGCCUUCUCAGCCUAAGGAGAGUGGCAUUGGCCAGAACCAUCACCAGGAGGAAAUAAUCCACAAGUUGGCCAUGCAGUUGAGAAACACUGGAGACAGCAUUGAUCGUAGGAUGGUUCAAGAGGAUCUCCAACAGGAAGUCAGAGAGGCACUGGCUCAUUUUGUCUUGCUUUUCUUUGGAGGAGUUCAUGUGUUGCUGCGCUUUCUCUGGAAUAACCAUUUGCUGUAAAAGGAAUGUAAAUGCCAACUCCUGCUUUGCUCCUGUCUUCUGAGAAAACCUGAAUCCUACUAGAACAGAUGAAAGAAAACCCUUCUCCAUCUCCUUCUUUUUUACCCAUCACUGUUGGUUCACACCUGGUUUGUUGGAGAAAUGCAGACUCAUCGGCCACUUGUUUGUGCAGAGCAACCAGCUAUGAGAUGUUUGUGAUUGCCUCCUGGAAAAGCCCACGAUGGCCAUGACACUUAGAGAACACCAGCGCUGUGGAUGGUCCCUGUGUUCCUUGUAAGGAAAUCUUAAACAUUUUCUUCCAUGAGUAAAAUUGAACCUCAUCCUCAAAGCAGAGGUCACAGAAAUGGGUGCUUUCUCCUGCCCCUUCCUGGGGUACCAGGCCCUCCAGUGAUCUGUUGGUCCCCCCUUGUUGCCUGUGCCCAGGUCUCCAGUGCCCUGUUCUUCCACCUGUCUACCUCAUCUUCCCUCUCUUCCCCCUUUUUGAAGUAUCACAAGUAUUAAGAAAGUUUGUGGUUAUAAAUUAUAAGUUCUAUAUAUACCUUUUGAGUUCUUUGUAGGAUAAGU